GGGGGGAGCGUCAGAUCUUGUGCUGUGUCCCCCAGUGCCCUGGGCUCCAGGGCCUGCGCCUCUGGAAACGUGCUCCAAGGCCGCGCAGCAUCCU
rnacentral:pre_miRNA from 1 species